rnacentral:rRNA from 1 species
GGGCUCGCAGGCGGUUUCUUAAGUCUGAUGUGAAAGCCCCCGGCUCAACCGGGGAGGGUCAUUGGAAACUGGGGAACUUGAGUGCAGAAGAGGAGAGUGGAAUUCCACGUGUAGCGGUGAAAUGCGUAGAGAUGUGGAGGAACACCAGUGGCGAAGGCGACUCUCUGGUCUGUAACUGACGCUGAGGAGCGAAAGCGUGGGGAGCGAACAGGAUUAGAUACCCUGGUAGUCCACGCCGUAAACGAUGAGUGCUAAGUGUUAGGGGGUUUCCGCCCCUUAUUGCUGCAGCUAACGCAUUAAGCACUCCGCCUGGGGAGUACGGUCGCAAGACUGAAACUCAAAGGAAUUGACGGGGGCCCGCACAAGCGGUGGAGCAUGUGGUUUAAUUCGAAGCAACGCGAAGAACCUUACCAGGUCUUGACAUCCUCUGACUUUCCUAAAGAUAGGACGUCCCCUUCGGAGGCCUAGUGACAGGUGUUGCAUGGUUGUCGUCAGCUCGUGUCGUGAGAUGUUGGGUUAAGUCCCGCAACGAGCGCAACCCUUGAUCUUAGUUGCCAGCAU